rnacentral:misc_RNA from 1 species
CGGACUACUAGGGUAUCUAAUCCCGUUCGCUCCCCACGCCUUCGCACAUGAGCGUCAGGCUAGUGCCAGGGUGCCGCUUUCGCCACUGGUAUUCCUCCCGAUAUCUACGCAUUCCACCACUACACCGGGAAUUCUACACCCCUCUCACCGCCUCAAGCACAUCAGUUUCCAACGACCCCUCCCAGUUAAGCCAGGAGAUUUCACGUCAGACUUACAGCGCCGCCUGCGUGCGCUUUACGCCCAGUAAUUCCGGAUAACGCUUGUCACCUACGUAUUACCGCGGCGGCUGGCAC